AGACACAUCCAGGUCCAUUUCUGAGGGUCAACAAUUCACCUCACCCAACUCUGAAGAAUUUCAUUUAGGGUCUGAGGUUCAAAAACACCCCCUAGUUUAGUUCCAGAGAGGUGCUCUAGUCCAUUGCAGUCUGGCCUUCUUCCAGUCCAGCCAUGAUUGCGUCUUAGGACUUCUGCUCCGGUGUGGUAGCAGGCGUGGCCAGACUCUCCGGCUUCACAAUCUGAUGACGUACUCUGCAUACGCCAGUCCGUUGACACUGGGUCGACCUAUAACCGAGUGGUGUCCAGGGGGGGCGUGGGCCAUCUUCAUCGCACUAAACUGAAGAAACGACUUACCCAGCGUCACUCUGCAGAACAGCAUCUGCCUGAAACGCAAACACACAGAAUAAUACAUGAAGACUGGAACUCCUUGUCGUCUGGUGCCAGGUCGAUCAGCACGGUUCCCUGGCUGGAGCAGUGGAACGUCAGAUAUGGGUUUGCACCUACAAACCAAAAAAUGAUGAGACUGACAAUACAUUUCUUAUCAUACAUUACAGGUACAGCUAAAUAAAUAACACAGGAGUUUGAUGUAUAGAUGAUCUAAAGUAAACAUUUUUAGUUUUUCUUAACAAAUCAGAACACUAAAUAACAGAACUUGGUGUUAUAAAGAGAACAUGCUUGAUUGUUUUAACAUUUCAGUGUUUAUUUGACAAUUACCUAUUUAUAUACAGUAAAGCGUGUGUGUGUUCCUGACCUUGCUGGCCACCCAGCAGCCUCUCGAUGCCCUUGAUGAGUUUGUGUCUGUGGCCGUAAGCAUUGAUGCCGAUCUCUUUCAGCUCCUCGUGACCCAUAUCUGCCAGCACAUCCAGCGAAAUCUGCCCAGAAAUAACAAAUGAGUCAUGCCAGUCUUGCUUAGAGUUGUCUUCUGCCAAACAAUGUAUAUUACUAGGAAAAUAACAUUUUAUGAUCUUAAUCUCCAAUAAUUAUUUGAGCGAUACUUGUAACUAUACAUCUGUCAACUGAAUCAAAUGUCCUAAUUUAUUGAAAAGUAGAACUCCUGAAACCUAGACAAAAACACAUUACAAUUUGAUGGUGACAACAGCAAGUCAUGCUAAAACUGAACAUUAAAAUUAAAUAACCCAAAAAACAUGAUCUCAGUGAACUAAGACAUUGUAGAGACAAUCAGUCUGACAAAUAUUCAUAAGAGGAAGACAGAAGCGGCAUG